AUUGAACGCUGGCGGCAGGCCUAACACAUGCAAGUCGAACGAGCGGCGGACGGGUGAGUAAUGUCUGGGAAACUGCCCGAUGGAGGGGGAUAACUACUGGAAACGGUAGCUCAUACCGCAUACCAUCGGAUGUGCCCAGAUGGGAUUAGCUUGUAGGUGAGGUAAUGGCUCACCUAGGCGACGAUCCCUAGCUGGUCUGAGAGGUUGACCAGACACACUGGAACUGAGACACGGCCCAGACUCCUACGGGAGGCAGCAGUGGGGAAUAUUGCACAAGGGGCGCAAGCCUGAUGCAGCCAUGCGGCGUGUAUGAAGAAGGCCUUAGGGUUGUAAAGCACUUUUGUUGGGAAGGCGUUACCGAAAGAAUAAGCACCGGCUAACUUCGUGCCAGCAGCCGCGGUAAUAC
rnacentral:rRNA from 1 species